rnacentral:rRNA from 1 species
UGGGGAAUAUUGGACAAUGGGCGCAAGCCUGAUCCAGCCAUGCCGCGUGAGUGAUGAAGGCCUUAGGGUUGUAAAGCUCUUUCACUGGGGAAGAUAAUGACGGUACCCAGAGAAGAAGCCCCGGCUAACUUCGUGCCAGCAGCCGCGGUAAUACGAAGGGGGCUAGCGUUGUUCGGAAUCACUGGGCGUAAAGCGCACGUAGGCGGACUUUUAAGUCAGGGGUGAAAUCCCAAGGCUCAACCUUGGAACUGCCUUUGAUACUGGAAGUCUUGAGUUCGGGAGAGGUGAGUGGAACUGCGAGUGUAGAGGUGAAAUUCGUAGAUAUUCGCAAGAACACCAGUGGCGAAGGCGGCUCACUGGCCCGAUACUGACGCUGAGGUGCGAAAGCGUGGGGAGCAAACAGG